CUCUAACCUCUCUUUUUCUUUUUCUCUGUUUGACAACAUUCAGACAGGUCGCAUUCCUUUUCACCUUUCCAAUACUGUUUGCAUUUGUGAAUGCUUUUCUUGUGCAAUCAGUCAAAUAAUAUGAUAGCAACGGAUAUUUACAGCGCUUUUAAAGAUACAGAGGUAUCUUAACAUUCUUAUGUCCGAGAACAUCUUCAAAAUUUCACGGAAGCCGAAGAUCAAGUUGAUCGGCAUAAGUCGAUGAACGAUUAAUUGGCAAUUUUGUAAUUAGAGACUUUACAACUGACCAGUGCUGUGCUUGCAGUGAUUAUAGGCUUGAAUUUCAGUUUCAUAUCAAGUACUGCCGCCGAACAAACUCGAGCGAUUUGGAGAGAGCUGACGACGGUCGAGAUUUGCCGUGAUACCCGCGAUUAAUCAUCAGAGGGCUGCCUGAUAUACACGCUUAAAGGUUGCUGGCGAAAGGGGGAGAGAAACGGUAGCCGACUCGGCCGGUCGCCCAACCGACCUUCCGUACCACGGCGCCAUUUUUUUGCGCCAUCCGUUAUAAUUGCCAGGGCCUUGUCACUUUUGCGGGCUUUCGCAGUGAGGUACCUGAUGUGUACGUUGCCCCGUGCCGGUUUUCUUACACCGAGGCGGCUUCGUCAAAGCGAUCAGGAGAACAUAGGGAGGGAGUGGACAAUGAGCGGAGAACGAAGGACCAGAAACGAGCCUAACUCUCGCGUUGCAGUUUCAAUGGUGCUCUCGUCGGUUUCUCGGGGAGCGGAUAACGCUUAAAAUUCAAAGACGAUCGGCCGGCCAGUGCCGGCAAAAACUCGUGCCUCGCCUGCGCAUUUUACGCCACUUUCUUGCGUAUGUACGCACGCGUGUAGGUAUCUCCCUCUCUUCUCUCUGUUUCUUUCUCUCUCUCUCUCUCCCUCUCUCUCAUCCUCCCCUAUUCCCGCGGCCUCUCAAGGACUGGUGCCGCCUGCGGAUGGCCCCACGACAGAGAAAGCGCCGACGAGAGAAGUCGGAGGGACGCAAUCGUAAUACGGUAGCCGGUACGGCGGUGAGUUUAAAUCAUAUUAAAGCACGUCCAGGCAUCUCGCGGGCCCGUAAGUCCGGAUUACGGACGCGGCCGGCCCGGUCUACGCGCGAAAUUCCACAUACAAAGUAACCCGGAUCGUCUUACCUCGGGGACGCUUCAUGGAAGACAAUCUUUAGGAGUCUGCUGCAGCGAAAGGAUUAACGCACGCGGUCUUGGUUGUUGCGAAAGUGGCUAAAAUGCCACGUUUAGCACGUAAAAAAUUUAUUUGGAACACUGAUAAAAUUAUUGUUACAAUUAUUUCAUAUAUAUCGUACAAAUAAUGAUUUUUAUGUAUCGUAUAUAUAAUCUCAUUAUGCAUACUUUAUUGCGAUUAACUGGUUAAAAUAUAUUCAAAACGAAGAAAGAAUGUAAAGCUUAAUUUAAAAAGAUCUCUUUCCUGGCAUCUUCUUAUGUGAAUUUCAAAAGCUCGAUAGAUUUUAUGCGAAUCGAAUAUAUCGAAAAGAUUGAAUGAGAUAAUCAGUUAAGAACACUAUAUCAAUUACUCCAUGUGAUGGAUACAUAUAAUAAUUGAAAUAAAAAAUAUCGCUGCGUUGAAAAUCACACAUGUUCGUUUUUUUCCUGCGCGAUUUGAAAUCUUAAUAAGAGCAACAAAAAAUAGUCUUAUUGAAAAAAGAAAUAUUGUAAUCAGCAAGUAUUUUCCUGCCUAAAGCGAUACUCUUCGUACAAUUCGCUCAAUGAGAUCGAUGUUCCAUGAAAAGAAAUAUAAAAUAAAAAGAAAUAGGCUAUUUAUAGUUUUUAGUAUUUUGUGAAAAGAUUGAUACAAUGUUUUGUGUCUUAAUGUUCUGUGAAUGUCUGUGGAUUAUAAUAUAGCAAGAUAAAUUGCUUGGUAUAAA